UACAGAGACUGCAAGCGUUAUUCGGAUUCACUGGGCGUAAAGGGUGCGCAGGCGGUUGUGUGUGUCAGGUGUGAAAGCCCGGGGCUUAACCCCGGAAUUGCGCCUGAAACUACAUGACUAGAGCAUUGGAGAGGGUAGCGGAAUUCACGGUGUAGCAGUGAAAUGCGUAGAUAUCGUGAGGAACACCAGAGGCGAAGGCGGCUGCCUGGACAAUUGCUGACGCUCAGGCACGAAAGCGUGGGGAGCAAACGGG
rnacentral:rRNA from 1 species